AGCGAACGCUGGCGGCAGGCCUAACACAUGCAAGUCGAACGAACCUUUCGGGGUUAGUGGCGGACGGGUGAGUAACACGUGGGAACGUGCCUUUAGGUUCGGAAUAACUCAGGGAAACUUGUGCUAAUACCGAAUGUGCCCUUCGGGGGAAAGAUUAAUCGCCUUUAGAGCGGCCCGCGUCUGAUUAGCUAGUUGGUUGAGGUAACGGCUCACCAAGGCGACGAUCAGUAGCUGGUCUGAGAGGAUGAUCAGCCACAUUGGGACUGAGACACGGCCCAAACUCCUACGGGAGGCAGCAGUGGGGAAUCUUGCGCAAUGGGCGAAAGCCUGACGCAGCCAUGCCGCGUGAAUGAUGAAGGUCUUAGGAUUGUAAAAUUCUUUCACCGGGGACGAUAAUGACGGUACCCGGAGAAGAAGCCCCGGCUAACUUCGUG
rnacentral:rRNA from 1 species